CUUUCCUUGUUCUGGCUGCCCAUUUCCUGUGUUCUGUGUUCCGUCGUUUCCUGUGUUCACCAUCCAAACCGCAGUUCUGCCAUGUCCCAUGUCUAUCGUGGGUUUUUGAGUGAGCCAUUGCUAAAUACUUCUUCAAAAGUGGAACGAAGACUGUUGGCGAAAGGCAGUUUCACAGAACAAACCUACAUUGACGAAACACCAAAGUACUCACCAGUCACAGUGCCAUCCACCAGCCAGUGUGAACAGCAAGUCGGUCUUGUCAGGCAGGGAUUAUCUGCUCGCACUACAAGGCGCCUUUUCAGACAAAAAGCAAAUGAAAACAAGUCACGGGGAAUCAUUGUGAAGACUGUGAAUGUUUCAGACAUUGAUGAACGCUUCAAUGCCAUUGCUGAGACCUUCAACAAGUUGCAUAAUAACAGAAUGAACAUCACACAUUCAGAAUCUCGGCUCAGAGAGCUGUGUGGUUGUGCACCACAUGCCACUUUGGUUGACUCUUUGCAUCACCUUCAACAGCAGCAUGGUGACAUAACACUUUGGCUGGAGUUGAAAGGCUACAACUUUUCACUGCAGCUGGAAGGAGCAAAUGUGCCAUCUGAGCUUGAAUUGGCACGAAGUUUGGUGUAUGAUCUGAACAAGGCUACAUGUGAUGUACUUCGUGCUGGGCCAUGUCUGAAUGAGAUGCUCUCUGUCUUGUUGCGCUGCAAGGAGCAGAUUCGUACGCGGGUAGCUGGUACAAAUGUGGGCUAUGCCGAUGCUCAACGCAUAAAAGCAAACCUUGAAGAUAACCUCCAUCAGGUGAUUGAAGCCAGGCGCCGAGCAACUGAGUACAAGGCCUAUGCUGAUGAUAUUUUAAAACAAGUCUCACAGCUUGCAGGAAUUCAGUUGUAACUAUAAGCAGUUCCUUGUUGGCGAGCAAUACAUACACAGUUUCAUGGAAGGAGGGGGGCUGGGGGGGCAUUGGAUGCAGAGCUGGACUGUGGUAAGCGUAGUAUGGUCUGUGUGUUUUGAGUCGGUUAGAUCGCCAUGUAACAGGGAUAUGUUAGAGUAAGUUGUUUUUUGCAUGUGAUGCUGAGGAGGAAGCACAUACAAUUUAUAAACCGGGAAGACAGAUUAAUAAUGUUUGCGUAAAUACCUCUCGAAGGCAGGAAUUGGUCGGACUUCCCCAUCACAGAGGCACACGUGUACAACGAGGCCAAUUAUGAUCUCUGUGGCCAGUGUGUGCCAUCCAUGGUGGUGUAGUGGGCUGUAGAGCCCAGAAGAAAGAUGUACUUUUAUUUUUAUUGGGGCCGCCCUUGUGGGCGGGACCUGUGGGAAAGACUCCACCGAGGAGAAAGACGUGGUCGCGGUGCACGUGGGUGCAGAAGAAGGAAGAAGAGAGAAGGUCCUGCAUGAGAGUGGAGACAAGAGAGUCACCAGGCGAGAACGGUGUGCGAGAGAGGUUCGUGCAUGAGAGCCCACCAGGACAGCACCAGAAGAGGCUCAUAUGCAAGGAGAAUGGAGACCUCGCUUGAAGGAAAAGCCUCGUGGGGAAUUUGAUUCAAGCUGGGAUCACCCUGUGUUUUCAGACUGUCUGAAGGAAAAAGGGACCAACCACAUGGCCAAGUUGAUGGCCUACCCAACACUGGCCCUGCUUGUUGCUGGUUCUCGUCUCCCUUCUGGUUUCUAAAGCGGACACCAUCGAAUCCUGUAUUCACCCUGUGCAUCAUAGAGAAAAGGGAAGUCCCGCCUGCAUUAUUGUUGUGUUGUGAAAGUGUAUCUAUGGUGCCUCAUGGGUUAAAUUAGGAUUUCAUCCUUUAUUUCUCAUUGGAUACAAGUUUGCGUAUCCCAUUCUCCUUUUUGUGUCUUUUUGACUCACUUUAUUUGUUCCAUUAUUAUAGUGUCUUGCCGACCCUCUUCCUUAUGCUUUUCAUUUUAUAAAUAAUCCUUUAAAAUAUAUAAGCGUGCUUCAGCUAUCUGCUUUCCGUGUUUAUUUACCUUCGUUUCAGCUCAUUUGGGAAAUGGCAAAAGUAAAGUAAAAUUGAACGCAGUGCCUUAAAAGAAUGCAUGGACCAUCUCUCGGCCCGUAAGGUCCUGGCUCUGAGGAACUCUGUAUUAAUGGACACUCGGUUUUGAGCC
ensembl:lincRNA